GUAUGCUCAGUGGUAGAGCAUUUGACUGCAGAUCGGGAAGUGCCCGGUUCAAACCCGGUGUCCCCA